rnacentral:lncRNA from 1 species
AAGUCGUAUGCAUAUGUUUCAUGUGUGGAGAAGGAACCUUCUAACUAGUCUUUCACCAUCUUAAUUUUCAUCAAAACGUUUUUGUCAAAGUUAAAUUCGUCCAAAAUCAAUCCCCCUUUACUUAGUUGAGUCAUAGUAGUUAGAAAUCACUUUAGUUUAUGUUUUUAAGUGUCUUAGGUCAAGAUAAAACCAAUUUUCGUCCAAGAUUGAGUCUAGUGUUCAAAACUGCCCAGAUUGUGGUUUAAGCCAGUUUUGAGUGUUUACUUGCUGUUUUGAGUCUUUUGGUUUGUUUUGGUGUUUUAAAGUUUAGUUUUGCAUUCUUUGAGUUUAGUUUAGUGUUUUAAACUUGUUUUUACGUAUUUGAGUCCGUUUUCAAGUGAUUUUGCAAUCCCUCCUAAUCCCCGGUUUAGAACGAUCCCUACUUACAUACUUUGCUACAAUUGAUAAAAAGAGGGUUAAUUUGAGUGUCAACAUAAUUUUCACAUCAACUCCAAGGGUCCUUCUUCUUCUUCUUUGCUGCGACACAAGGUAUGGGUGAAGGUUUGAGUGAUGAAUUGUGGUGGUGGAUGGAUGUACGUGAUUUAUGGUGAAGGAUGGAUGAUGAAUGAUGCAGCAGGAACAUAUAUUUAUAGGCUAGGGAGAGGACCACGACCUAAUUAAAUUUGGAGAAGGAUUUGUACACCAAAUCCUCAAGGAAAAAGGGUAAUUAAAUUCAGAAUCCAAGGGGAAAAGGGAAGGUAGGGUGCAGCAAGGAAGAAAAGGAAAUGGAAAUUCCUUGCCGUGCAAGGGAAAGGGGGAAAGGAAAGGGCUUGUGCGGCAAGGAAGAGGAAAUGAGUUUUUAGGAAUGUAAUUGAUGCGAAAUAUAUAAGCACACAAAUUAAACCCUCUUUUAUCAAUUGUAGUAAAGUAUGUAAGUAGGGAUCGUUCUAGGCCGGGGAUUAGGAGGGAUUGCUAAAUCA